GUGGCAAUGGGGCUCUGGACAAUAGGAAUGCCUUGCUUUUCAAACAAGAGGCUCAAGUCAAAUGCCAUCUCCCCAAAGUAAGCUUUCCUAGAACUAUACUCUCCACCAAAGGGACAGCCCAGUUAGAGUGUCUCAGCCCACGGAGCCGUGCCAACAUUGAUCCCAUAAAACAGAAUUUGGCUUAGAGAGAGAUUCGCCCCACCCAUGCUGGAUGAGAAAAAUCUAACUAAACAGCUUUGAAGUUGUUUAGACUUGAAUUUGAUUCCCACCUCUGUCAGUAAUUAUGUGUGUGAACUUGGCUAAAUUGCUGACUCUUUCUUAAUUUCAACUUUGUCUUUUUUAAUAAAUGGGAAUACUGUAUGUG